GAGUUUGAUCGUGGCUCAGGACGAACGCUGGCGGCGCGCUUGACACAUGCAAGUCGAACGGGCGUCUUCGGACGUCAGUGGCGAACGGGUGCGUAACACGUGAGCAACCUGCCCAUGCAUGGGGGAUAACCCGGGGAAACCCGGGCUAAUACCGCAUACGUUCUCCCCUGCGCAUGAAGGGGAGAGGAAAGCUCCUGCAAGGGAGCGUGCGUGGAGGGGCUCGCGGCGUAUCAGGUAGAUGGCGAGGUAACGGCUCACCAUGCCGACGACGCGUAGCCGAUCUGAGAGGAUGAUCGGCCACAUUGGGACUGAGACACGGCCCAGACUCCUACGGGAGGCAGCAGUGGGGAAUCUUGCGCAAUGGGCGAAAGCCUGACGCAGCGACGCCGCGUGU
rnacentral:rRNA from 1 species